UGACUGUAUUGAUUACAAUUACUUUUUGUCUCUUAUUGAAGAAAUCCUUGUUGAAAUGCACAAAGUCAGGAUGUUCAUUGAUAAUACAUCUGAAGAUCCAAUUUUGUUUUGACCUCCAAUGGAUUUGUUCAGGUGGUUCUUCCUAUUGGAGGUUUUAUUCCAAGGGAAAAAGACUGUUAGGCCAAAGGGAAUUUUUCUGAAAAAAUUCUCAAUUUAAUUAUCUAAAUAAAUUUUUCUGGAUAAGAUAUUUAGAAGUUGUAUAUUGCCAAGUCCAUUAAGAAUACUUGUAUUUCUUUGGGCUGUUGUGGUCUCUUUGCUAAACUUCUUUUUUUUUUUUUAAGGUUGAUACAAUGAUCAUUCAA
rnacentral:misc_RNA from 1 species